rnacentral:snoRNA from 1 species
AUCUCUUCUUUUAAAAAGUUAACUGUUAAGCGUGAUGAUUGGCUGUUCAUGCUCUAUGCAUGACAUGUGCCUCCUUUCAACCUUGUUACGACCUCGGCACAUUACCCAUCUAACA